GGCCACGAUAGCCCAGCACAGUGGCGAGCUUCAGAGCACCCAGGGCUGCAAGAAGCGGGAGGCCAGGGCAGUGUUUACCUUGGAUUUGGGUGGAUACUGCUCGGUUAUUGCGGACUCCCAGGGAAUAACUCCUGUGUUCCAGGAGUUCUUGCACAGCUUCAAAGUCAUGAAUCCGUGGCGGUGGUUGCUCCACUGAACACAUUUGAACUUCUCAGCACCACCACAGUGACCUCCCUCCUUCCCAUCCCCAAAGGCCACUCUGGAUUUCUUGCAGCUUUCCAAGAAUGACCCUCCCAACCUCAGGUUCCUUUCCAAGAAGUCACACAAGAGAAGAAAAUUUUCCACCACAGCAGAGCAGAUGAAUCAGGGCUGAGCCAACUGGUGACAGGAAAAUGAAGGGAGGACACGUGUGGUCACAUUAAAUUGUAGGUGUGGUCUUCAUAAUCACCAGUGGUUCUACAAUUUGGGCUGCAAGCAACCAAAACCACCAAACCACUGCCAGGAACCAGAUGUUACUGCCAGGGACAGAUGUUCUCAUCACCAAAACAAACACAGCUCAACUCUGGAACCACCAACCUGCUGAUUUUUCGUUCAGUUGAAGUCUUGCCUUUCUCUGGCCACAACGACCAAGGAUGUUUAAUUGUCUAAAGAAAGUUGUGUUUUCUCAUAUUGUUUCCUUUCAAUUCGGAGAAAUAUUCAUUUUUGAACAUUUUUGAGUGUCUUCACUUCAGUUCAAUAGAGUUCAAAAGCAACAAGUCAUUUAAACCAGGAAG
rnacentral:lncRNA from 12 species